AUUGAACGCUGGCGGAAUGCUUUACACAUGCAAGUCGAGCGGCAGCGCGGGGCAACCUGGCGGCGAGCGGCGAACGGGUGAGUAAUGUAUCGGAACGUAUCCUUAAGUGGGGGACAACUAGUCGAAAGACUAGCUAAUACCGCAUACGAUCGAGAGAUGAAAGUGGGGGACCGCAAGGCCUCACGCUUUUGGAGCGGCCGAUAUCCGAUUAGCUUGUUGGUGAGGUAAAGGCUUACCAAGGCUAUGAUCGGUAGCUGGUCUGAGAGGAUGAUCAGCCACACUGGGACUGAGACACGGCCCAGACUCCUACGGGAGGCAGCAGUGGGGAAUUUUGGACAAUGGGCGCAAGCCUGAUCCAGCAAUGCCGCGUGUGUGAAGAAGGCCUGCGGGUUGUAAAGCACUUUUAGUGGGGACAAAAAGCCACCGGCUAAUACCGGGUGGUCUUGAUUUAACUCACAGAAAAAGCACCGGCUAACUCUGUGCCAGC
rnacentral:rRNA from 1 species